CCAAAAGAAAUUACGUUUCAAGUCUACGUCGCCUUCGACGAUGUCCUGCACACCAAUUUCAGCGACGAAAAUUUAGCCAAGAAGUACGUGAGCGUGUUCUUCCGUGCGAUCAACCUCCAAUAUCAACAGAUGCAGAAUCCUAGAAUCAAGUUCGAGUUCGUCAUGUUUAACACGCAGAACGCCCCGUUUACAAGGGAAGCCCUCGUACUGGAAGGAGAUGAAGUGAACGCUCACAAAAGCCUUCAUUCCCUCUACAAAUUCACAAGCAACAGAACGCAAUUCAAUCCAUCAGACAUCGUGGUCGUCU